UAGGGAAUCUUCCGCAAUGGGCGAAAGCCUGACGGAGCAACGCCGCGUGAGUGAUGAAGGUCUUCGGAUCGUAAAACUCUGUUAUUAGGGAAGAACAAAUGUGUAAGUAACUAUGCACGUCUUGACGGUACCUAAUCAGAAAGCCACGGCUAACUACGUGCCAGCAGCCGCGGUAAUACGUAGGUGGCAAGCGUUAUCCGGAAUUAUUGGGCGUAAAGCGCGCGUAGGCGGUUUUUUAAGUCUGAUGUGAAAGCCCACGGCUCAACCGUGGAGGGUCAUUGGAAACUGGAAAACUUGAGUGCAGAAGAGGGAAGUGGAAUUCCAUGUGUAGCAGUGAAAUGCGCAGAGAUAUGGAGGAACACCAGUGGAGAAGGCGACUUUCUGGUCUGUAACUGACGCUGAUGUGCGAAAGCGUGGGGAUCAAACAGG
rnacentral:rRNA from 1 species